AAAUUGAAGAGUUUGAUCAUGGCUCAGAUUGAACGCUGGCGGCAGGCCUAACACAUGCAAGUCGAACGGUAACAGGAAGCAGCUUGCUGCUUGCUGACGAGUGGCGGACGGGUGAGUAAUGUGCUGG
rnacentral:rRNA from 1 species